UUUGCACUGACAGCUAUGUAAACGCGGCACGCUUCCUUCUCUGUAUUCCACAUUCGUAGCGAGAAGUCGCUCGCGAUGAGAGGAAAGUGGAGGAAGAAGCGCAUGAGGAGGCUGAAGCGGAAGCGCAGGAAGAUGCGGGCAAGGUCGAAAUAAGAUCGGUUCUCUGCCAAGUGCACGUCGGUGGGUUCUGCCGGGCUCCACAGCUCCUGUACGCGCGUCAUAUGAAGGCGACGAGGAAACACCUCUCGGGCCAGAUGAUUUGUGUGGCAUCUCUGAACGCUGUCGUGCGCUCUGUGAAAUACAGCAUUGUUUCUCCACUGUG